GACCAGCAAGACAGGACCAAGAGAAGCUGGUAGCAACAGGAUCUGACCAAAUGAAAAGUGCAAGAGGGAAACCCAGAUAGCAGCUGAACGGCCUCUAAUACCUGCAAGAUGGUCUGCUUCUGAAGGUGAUAUUGUCCAGACUUUAUCAGAAGUGGAUCUGGCUUCAUUGCAUGGCAAAUCUCCAGAUGAGGAUGCCCUCAUCCAUGGACUGUUUCAUCCACGGGAUGUGAGUUGUCUUGGUUGACACUGAAGAAUGAAUAGAAUGAAGGUGCAGUGGGGAAUCCAGAUGCCAUCUAAGAAGUCUGACUUACCUGAGGCCACCAUGCUAUAAGGAAGACCAAGAUAGCCAUGUGGAGAGAGAGGGCCCAUGCAGAAGAUCACUGAGGUGUCUGUCAUAUCAGAGACUCCUGACUGAACAGCCUGUUAUACUGACACCAAGCAUACCAGUAACCUGCUCCCUGACCUAUAUAAGGCUGAGUUCCAGGCUUACCAUAUUGAUCGAAUGGGACCUUCAGCCAAGUUUUCACCCCUUGGAGUGCCACCUUUCAUCUAAGAAUAAGAAAAUGGGGCUUCCCUGGUGGUGCAGCGGUUGAGAGUCUGCCUGCCAAUGCAGGGGACGCGGGUUCGAGCCCUGGUCUGGGAAGAUCCCACAUGCCGCGGAGCAGCUGGGCCCGUGAGCCACAAUUACUGAGCCUGCGCGUCUGGAGCCGGUGCUCCGCAACGGGAGAGGCCGCGAUGGUGAGAGGCCCGCGCACCGCGAUGAAGAGUGGCCCCGCUUGCUGCGACUGGAGAAAGCCCUCGCACAGAAACGAAGACCCAACACAGCCAUAAAUAAAUAAAUAAAUGAAUGAAUGAAUGAAUGAAUGAGAAAAUGGUAAGGAAACAAUAUGGCUGCCAUGAAAAAUAAAUGCAACAAUGACAUCUUAUUGCUUCCAAGAGCAAGCAGAGCUUUCACAACUGUCCUUCAAAGCCCAGUUUUACCUAUCCAAUCUUCAGUCAUAGCUAUCUUUAAGGUUCCUUUAAAAUAUGAUAAAAGAUAUGGACCUUCUCAUCAAAAUAAUGCAUAAGUACAAUUUACAAAUGUUUUCAGUGGAUUUUUGGUAGAUCCCCAUCUCCCUUCCCUAGGAACCAAGCCCAUUCUCCUACCAUCUUUAGGCUCAGACCCACCCUCUCAGAUUGAAAUGGGGUGGGGGGUUAGGGUGGCAGUUAUACUUCUCCCCUUCCACGUCAGACUAGCUUCUGAAUGUCUUCUUCCAAGUUGUCACUCUACAGACAGACCCAUUGAUCCUUCUUAUUUUAGGGGUUUGCCUGUCAAUCACUGUGGGAAAACACUGUGGGGAAACAAUAGCAGGAUUCCAAAAAUAACAAUAAGGCAGUUAAAAAGCUUAACUCUUAAAAGGCCCUCACUCCCUUGCUGAGAGGGUUAUAGGAUGGCUGCUGCCUGAUUUUUUCCUUUCAAGAUGGAUCUCUUCUGGUGAACUUGUUGGUUGAAUUCUUUCUCCUUCUUUCUAGGAAAAACUCAGAGUGUUUUGAAAGUUAUCCUGGGAGUAGAUUCUCCAAUAGAUAAUUUGCAUCCCUCAGCUCCUGUGGACUGUUCAAUGGCUCUGGGGAUUUUCUCACUACACAGAAUCCUUGAUCUUUUCCCUAAGGAAUAGA